GAUGAACGCUGGCGGCGUGCUUAACACAUGCAAGUCGAACGGAAAGGCCCAAGCUUGCUUGGGUCCUCGAGUGGCGAAAGGGUGAGUAACACGUGGGUGAUCUGCCCUGCACUUCGGGAUAAGCCUGGGAAACUGGGUCUAAUACCGGAUAGGACCACUUCUUGGAUGUUGUGGUGGAAAGUUUUUUCGGUGUGGGAUGAGCUCGCGGCCUAUCAGCUUGUUGGUGGGGUAAUGGCCUACCAAGGCGUCGACGGGUAGCCGGCCUGAGAGGGUGUACGGCCCCAUUGGGACUGAGAUACGGCCCAGACUCCUACGGGAGGCAGCAGUGGGGAAUAUUGCACAAUGGGCGCAAGCCUGAUGCAGCGACGCCGCGUGGGGGAUGACGGCCUUCGGGUUGUAAACUCCUUUCGCUAGGGACGAAGCGUUUUGAGACGGUACCUGGAGAAGAAGCACCGGCUAACUACGUG
rnacentral:rRNA from 1 species